AGAGUAUCAAUUGGAGGGCAAGUCUGGUGCCAGCAGCCGCGGUAAUUCCAGCUCCAAUAGCGUAUAUUAAACUUGUUGCAGUUAAAAAGCUCGUAGUUGAAUUUCUGCUGUAUCGUUUUCCUCUGCUUGACAGUUGGAUUUCGUUACGGCUUAGUUGGGUUACAGAUCUUGUUACCCAACGUUUACUUUGAGAAAAUUAGAGUGCUUCAAGCAGGCUUUUGCCUUGAAUACCUUUAGCAUGGAAUAAUGGAGUAGGACUUUGGUUCUAUUUUGUUGGUUUUAGGAGCCAGAGUAAUGGUUAAUAGGAACAGUUGGGGGCAUUCGUAUUUGACUGUCAGA
rnacentral:rRNA from 1 species